UGUUAGAAAAAUGUUGGAACGAAAUUAUUUGGCUUUAGCAGAAAUGUUAAAAGAAUUAUGUAAGAAUAUGUUAUGGUUAUGAGAAAUUGGUAUAAACAAGAUCUAAGUUUUAAGUUUUAGGGUCUUUUAUAGUAAGAUAAGGUUAAAAUAGAUUAAGAUAAUUUAAUGACAGAAUACUAUGAAAAAUGGAAAGGAUUUGCUGUGAUAAUUAACAACUAGAAUACAAAAAAGGGAGGAGUGAGGAGGUCGAUGAAAUAAGGUAAUGACAGUUAAGGAUUUGGGAAUAUUGGAUUUGUUUUUAAAUUUUUUGUGGUUUAUUUUUGCUUUUUGAUUGUGAUGUGUUAUGUGUUUUGUUGUUUUUUGAUUUUGAUUUUUAUCAAUUUGUAUUGUAUGAUUGUUGUUUGUUUUUCCUUUGUUUUUUCUUUCUUUUUCUCUUUGUUUUUCCUGUAAUCUUAAAAUUCUUAAUAAAUAUCAUUUUUUUUAAAAAAAAGAAG